rnacentral:piRNA from 1 species
UAGCAGUUCACCGCAAGAAGCUGACUC